rnacentral:lncRNA from 1 species
UGGUCCGAGCCAGUACACCCACUGGUGGGUCCACGACCAGCUGACGAGAGCCGGGCCGAAGGACACGGCGGGGUUCAUGGAGGCGCCAUCGAAGGGCCCGCCCACAAGGAUAUUGGCGCCGACGAUGAAGCCGAUGGCGAUGGGGGCGAUGGUGCCGAGACUUCCCUUCUUGGGGUCCACGGCGGUGGCGUAGACGGUGUACACGAGGCCGAAGGUCAUGACGAUCUCCAGCACGAGCGCCUCCCACACGCUCACCCCGGUCAGCCCGAAGGUGCCGGUCUCGAGCCCGCCGGUGGAGAAGCGGAGCAGGAGGCAGGCCACGGUGGAGCCCAGCAGCUGGGCGAUCCAGUAGAGGAUGCCUCGUAGCAGCGUGAUGUUGCCGCCCACGAAGGCGCCGAAGGUCACGGCCGGGUUCACGUGCCCACCCGAGAUGUUAGCUCCCACGGACACCGCCACAAACAGGGCGAAGCCGUGCGCCAGCGCCGCCGCGAUCAGCCCCUCGGGCGUCGCAGCCCCGUCGCUCGUCAACUUGUCUGUACGCAGGCGACCGAACGUUAGCAUCCAAGAAGACCACGAAAAGCCGAGGCAUCCAACGAAAGACAAGAUACAGGAAGAAGUUGACAAAGAAGUAGAACGCACUGUAGGCCAUGCCGGAGCCUUGGCCGGCGAAGACGAAGAUGAAGGUGCAUAUGAACUCGGCGAGCGCGGCCUUGAGUGCAGUCGGGUGGGUUGCCUCGGCCGUAGUCCCGAUGGCUAUCUGAGUGAUCGGCAUUCUUCUUCCUGCCCUCUAAAACCCUCACCACCGAGGAGCUCUUCCGCUUCAAUAAUGUA